GAUGAAGAACGUAGCAAAAUGCGAUAAGUAAUGUGAAUUGCAGAAUUCAGUGAAUCAUCGAAUCUUUGAACGCACAUUGCGCCCGCCAGUAUUCUGGCGGGCAUGCCUGUUCGAGCGUCAUUUCAACCCUCAAGCCCUCGGGUUUGGUGUUGGGGAUCGGCGAGCCUUUCUGGCAAGCCGGCCCCGAAAUCUAGUGGCGGUCUCGCUGCAGCCUCCAUUGCGUAGUAGUAAAACCCUCGCAACUGGAACGCGGCGCGGCCAAGCCGUUAAACCCCCAACUUCUGAAUGUUGACCUCGGAUCAGGUAGGAAUACCCGCUGAACUUAAGCAUAUCAAUAGCGGAGGA
rnacentral:misc_RNA from 1 species